GACGAACGCUGGCGGCGGGCUUAACACAUGCAAGUCGAACGGAAAGGCCCUGCUUUUGUGGGGUGCUCGAGUGGCGAACGGGUGAGUAACACGUGAGUAACCUGCCCUUGACUUUGGGAUAACUUCAGGAAACUGGGGCUAAUACCGUAUAGGAUCUCCUGCUGCAUGGUGGGGGUUGGAAAGUUUCGGCGGUCGGGGAUGGACUCGCGGCUUAUCAGCUUGUUGGUUGGGUAGUGGCUUACCAAGGCUUUGACGGGUAGCCGGCCUGGGAGGGUGGCCGGCCACCUUGGGACUGAGAUACGGCCCAGACUCCUACGGGAGGCAGCAGUGGGGAAUAUUGCACAAUGGGCGGAAGCCUGAUGCAGCAACGCCGCGUGCGGGAUGACGGCCUUCGGGUUGUAAACCGCUUUCGCCUGUGACGAAGCGUGAGUGACGGUAAUGGGUAAAGAAGCACCGGCUAACUACGUG
rnacentral:rRNA from 1 species